rnacentral:rRNA from 1 species
AAGCGAUUUGAAUGAAGUUUUCGGAUGGAUUUUAAAUUGGCUGAGUGGCGGACGGGUGAGUAACGCGUGGGUAACCUGCCCCAUACAGGGGGAUAACAGUUAGAAAUGACUGCUAAUACCGCAUAAGACCACAGCACCGCAUGGUGCAGGGGUAAAAACUCCGGUGGUAUGGGAUGGACCCGCGUCUGAUUAGCUUGUUGGCGGGGUAACGGCCCACCAAGGCGACGAUCAGUAGCCGACCUGAGAGGGUGACCGGCCACAUUGGGACUGAGACACGGCCCAAACUCC